rnacentral:lncRNA from 14 species
ACUCAUUGACUGCUUCUGAACUGUUUUCUGUGACAGGUUUCGAGGUCCAGGUGCAUCUCUGUGUGACCCACCGUGCUCUAAGACGACCUCCACAGCUGCCCUGCUCAACCAGUGGAACUGCGUAUCCAGCUGCUCAUAACAAGAUGGCUUCACAGAGCUGCCAGAGGGGCCCGGAGAAUGCACACAUGCACCCCAAGGGACCAUGUUGUUCUGCUCUCUGCUUUCUGUGUAGCCUGGGCUCUUCACCACAUGGCAGCAGCCUAGGACCACUCAGGAAAUGUGGAAGACGGAGCAAGCCAGUCCAAUCCAGCCCGGAGGGCUCACGAGUGGCAGAGUGGCCCGAUGGCUUGCUGAGUUUACUGUUGCUUCUGUGGAGCCUGCUGCCCUCAGCAGGUGGACUGGAAUUGGAGAUGGCAGGAACCACUCAGAUAGUAUUCCUACAUGAAGAUGUCACCAUACCCUGCAAAAUCCUUGGCUCCCUGCACCUCGACCUCAGUAUUGUGGGAGUCAUCUGGUCUUUGAAGAAGGACGGGGAUGAAUCUGAGGUGUUUAAGUUUUAUGGAGAUCAACUAGAGGCAGUCCGGCCUGGAGCCAACGUGUCCUUGUUGGGGCUAGAACAUGGAGAUGCCUCACUCUACCUACCCAGGUUCGAGUUAUGGGAAGCAGGAGAAUACCAAUGCAAGGUCGUGGUGACCCCUGAAAAGAAAGAGGGGACAACCAGGCUAGAAGUCGUUGGUGAGUUCUUCGUGGAAGUGCCCUGUGGUUCUGAUGCUGCUGGAGUAGUGGUGGGUGUGUGCAUGGACAAGCAGAGUAGAGGGUCAGAACAUGGGUGACGGAAUCAGGGGACAUGGCUUUCAGUUUUGCCUCUUGCAACCCAAGUCCAUAGGCAAAUGCUGAAGAGGACGAGGCAGGGGGAUCUUGAAUUUAAGGCCACCUUGGGUUAUACCGUUUAGGUGGGGAUGUAUACAGCUUAAUUGUAAUGUGUUUGCCAGGCUCUGACUUCAACCCCCAGGUCUGUUCAGAUUCAACGGAACUAAAACCGCUUGACAACCUUUAGCAACUUCCCUGUUUGUCUGAACUGAAGAGGGCUUUUCUGUCCACAGAGGUAAGAGUAAUCUACCUAAAGACUUAGAGGAAAGAGUCUGGGAACAGCCUGCUGUAAACAAACUUAGGAAUUCUCUACCCCAGCCGUCUCCACUGAAGGGGACGCGAGAGGAUGUCCGAAAGAGGAGCUCAGUGUGAGCUGGGGCGCCGCGACCUCAACUCAGAUUCAGCUUUGUCUCUUCCGACCUGGGAGAGCAGACCGAACAUGCUGUAUCUUGGAGUGAAGUCUUCCAUGUAUCGCCCAGGACAGGGUCUCACUGAGUUGCUGAGAAGGGCUUGGGCAUGAGCUGAACUCUUAGCUUAUUCUUCUGCUCACACCAACCUCACUGCAGUGCUGGUCUCACUUCCUUCUGCCUUCAAUCCCAUUGCACCUCCCUCGGGGUCCUCGGGGCUGGGUCCUUGGACAUUCUCUGUGUAGGUUGUCAUGCACUUGGUAUUCGCUGGCACUCCCUGUGCUCUUUGGGGUUCCUGAAACUCUCAAUUGAUGCCCUUUCUUUUUUUUUUUUUUUUUUUUUUUUUUUUUUUUUUUUUUUUUGGGAGCUGGGGACCGAACCCAGGGCCUUGCGCUUCCUAGGCAAGCGCUCUACCACUGAGCUAAAUCCCCAGCCCUUGAUGCCCUUUCUUAACGUGAGUAUCCUUCCCCCCUACGACUGUGUUCUUCAAGUCUUGGCUUAUCUUUUUUUUUUUUUCUUUUUCUUUUUUCCGGAGCUGGGGAUUGAACCCAGGGCCUUGCACUUGCUAGGCAAGCGCUCUACUGAGCUAAAUCCCCAACCCCUUGGCUUAUCUUUUUACUGCGUCACUUCUACACAGAAGUGUUGAUUUUUAAAUUGUUUUAGCAAUCCCAAUGUACUGUUCUUUCCUUAAUAGUUCAUAGUCUCACGUUAUUUCCUUAUUUGGCUUUUUGGAAAAUGGUUUCAGGUAGCCUAGGCUGGUUAGCACAUGCUGUGUAGCUGCCACUAGCCUGCAGUGCUCUUCCUCCAGUCUCCAUCUCUGGUGUUGCAGUUUGUGCCUCCACAGCAGGCCUUUUGUUUUGUGUGUUGUGUCAUUAGUGUCACAGCAGCUUUCCUGAAGGUUCCUUCCCGAAGGUGCUCCUGACACUUCUGAAUCGACCUGGGAUGGCCUCCCUACAACAUCUCUCUACAGCGAACAUGCUAAGCACCAUAUAAUGGUGUCCGCUAGCGCUGUGCUCACUCACUGCCUUUUCGGAUUCUCGAAACUGCUUGAUGAUAAUUUCAUGAAGUUUGCUUGGCAAGAUUGCUGUGCAGACGGGGGCCACUGCGUGUCAGCAGUCUGCUGGUGCUGCCAACAUGUCCCACGCAUGUUAAUUAAGCCGUGUCCCAAUGUGUUCACUCACCUCUCCUUAACUCUCCUCAGGGGUUAAACAUGUUGAAGAGAGCUCCUUUGUCUCCUCCAGGGAGCCCCCAGUUUCCUGUGGUAAAGUAAGAGGUCUGCAAGGCUGUUGCUGAGGUAGACGCCUCUGUGCUGUGAGGAGAGAAACAGGUAGUUGGCUCUGGCUGACCUGUAGUUUUCUUUUCUGACAGCUCACCCUAACAUGAGUUUGUCCGAGAAACCAGCUACAGCGAGAGGUGGUAAAGAGAAACUCAUCAUAUGCCAGCUGGAUGGAUUCUACCCAGAAGCCCUUGACAUAAAGUGGAUGGGGAGUGCCCUGAAGGAUUCCCACUUCCAAGAGAUUACUGAGGGUGUAGUCACUGGUCCCACUGUGAAGAAUGAUGAUGGCACCUUCAGUGUAACCAGCUCCUUGGCCCUGAAGCCAGCUCUGGAAGACCAUAUGUACCAGUGUGUGGUGUGGCACAGAUCCUGGCUCAUGCCCCAGAGUCUCAAUGUCACCGUUUUUGAGAACAGUGAGUUUCCUCCCAGGCUCACCCUACUUGCAAACACGUGGCUGGAAAGUGGGAUUUUUGAGAGGUUUAGGAACUUUGCUAGGGAAGGAGAGGAAAUUGGGGGCUGAAGGCAAACAAGCCGGGUUCUUGUUCAGCUCACACCAGAGUCACCUCAUGGCCCAGAGGCAAAUGCAUGUGGCGGUGUAUAGGAUCGUCAUGGUUGUUUAUCUGCUCAGAAUAGCUUCAGAAUCUGGAUGUUUCUGAGGCAGGGAGUAGGGAGCUUGCCAGCUCCUUGGAGCCCCAGGACUAGUACCAUCCUCUGAGGAUAAGAGACUGUCAGCCAGGGGCCAGCUAUGCCAG